rnacentral:rRNA from 1 species
CGAACCUGCCUCUUAGCGGGGGAUAACUAUUGGAAACGAUAGCUAAUACCGCAUAAAAGUCGAUAUCGCAUGAUAUUGAUUUGAAAGGUGCAAUUGCAUCACUAAGAGAUGGACCUGCGUUGUAUUAGCUAGUUGGUGAGGUAACGGCUCACCAAGGCGACGAUACAUAGCCGACCUGAGAGGGUGAUCGGCCACACUGGGACUGAGACACGGCCCAG